rnacentral:lncRNA from 1 species
CAGAGGCCAAGAAGAUGCUGGAAACAAAAGUGGUGCUUCUUGGAAGGACUUUCUAAAAAUAGGGUUCAAUUUGGGACCAAAAGAAGUUGAUACGGACAAGAAGAGUAGUGAUGAUAGAAUUAUACCUGGGGGACAACUUGAUGAUCAGAUUGCAAAGAAUACAAAGAAGAGGACUCCAAAGUUCGUAAGCUAUAUGGAUGUUUCUGAUAAUAACCGGUUUCUGAAGACAUUAUUACCGAGGAAAUAUAAAUGCGGCACUUUUCCGACUUACCAAGCCUUGACCAUGGGGAAUAAAUAUGCAUCAUCUUCACAUACCGCAGCUUCUGAGGAAGAAGGCCAAGCCCUUGGCACUUCCAAGCAUGCCAAGCAGGUGGUGCAAAAAUCCCACAAGUGCCGGAUCUGCAACAAGAGCUUCCCCACGGGUCAGGCUCUUGGGGGCCACCAGAUAACUCACCGGCCGAAGCCAGCCCAAUUAGCUACAACCAAGCAAGAAGCCAGCCAGAAUGCAGGUCCAAGAGUUUUGGAUUUUGAUCUCAACGAGCUUCCCCCAAUGGGAAAAGAAUGAAGGUGGUGCAGUGUUCUCCCUACAAUUCAGUAAGUUGCACUUAUUGAGUAAAGGCUUAUAGAUUUUGUAAUUUUCCUUAUGGGAUGAUUUUAUUGGUCCGAAUAGAAGUAAAAUAGUUUUGAACUCUCCCAGAUGGAACUGCUGAAAUUUAUUUGUCUGCUGUUGGAUUCAGCCCUAGAACUGAUAGAAUUGGAUUGGAAUGUAAUGGCUUUUGUACACAUGCAUCGUCUCCUAAAACAAUCAAUAAGAAUAAGAACAAGCAUUGGGGGGUGGUUUUGUGGCUUCUGUGUACCUUACAAAAGUUACUUUCUUUUGUAUACGUAUAAUAUGAGAUAGGAUAAGAGAAAAAUUAUCAUAUCCUUUCAUCCUAUAUUUAAUCAGAUUAAACAUGUGAUAGUGAAUUAGAUAUAUUAUCCACUCACUUUCUUUUAUUCAUUUGAUACAAAAUAUGUUAAUCACGAUAGACAUAUAUCAAAAAAUUAUUUCUUAUCAAUUUUUUAUUUUUAAAUAUACUCAUUUUACAAAAUAAAUUUUUUUAUUAUAAAUUAAAUUUAUGAUUAAAAAUGAAAAACUAAAAAAAAAAUAUUUAAUUAUUUAUUUUUAAAAAAUGAUUUUACCACUACUUACUUUUUUUAAUUAAAAAUAAAACUCUAAAAAAUUAACUCGAGAAAGUGAAUUAACUUAUUCUUAAAUUCACGUUUUUACUUUAUCUUUUUACCCCUAUUAUCUUAAUUACUUUCACCAUAUUCAUUGUUUCACCCCCACUUUCAUUGUUACCUAUCUCCUUUGUUUUGGUUAUAAUUUAUAUAUAUAUAUAAUCAAACAACUUUAAUAUUUAAAGUAAAAAAUAAUAAAUUUUAAGUUAAUAAUUUAAAUAUAAUUUAAUUUAAGUCAUUAACUAAUAAAUAUUAAAUUUUACCAAACACCCCACUUGAAAAAAUAAAAAAUAAAAAGAAAAAUGACCCAUCUAUAAUGUUACUCUAAAACCGUUUCUAUUAAUGAAUUGAGGUGAUUUUAAUAUUUCAUUAAUUAAUGCAUGGAUUUGAGAAGAAGCCAGAAGAAGUUCAUGAGAAUUACAUAACUGAAAAACAUGAGAUUAAUGAUAUCUUGAAAUUCGCAUAUUUAUCCUCAGGAUUUCUCAAAAAAUCUUGAAGAUACUUUCAAGUCUUUUAUUUAAGAACAAACUUCACAACAUGAUUUCCUUAGUAGAUGCAACAUAAAUUUCAUUAUUCAGAAUAAUAGAGUUAGAAAUAACUUAGAACCGCUAAUUUAAGUUGGAGAUUAGAUUAGGGGAUAAAAUAAUUAUUGUUAUUAUUUAAUACCCAAAUAAAUAUACUAGUAUAUUUUAUUAAGGAAAGGAGAUCGGUAAGCAUAGAAACUCUAGGGCCCUAGGGUUUCUAUUAGAAUUAUAUAUAUCAGCAAAAUAGAAACCGUUCUCCUUAUCUACUCUUCCUCUGCCUACACUUCUUUCAGUCCACUUCUCACAACCAGGUUCCAGGUUUUUCUUUUUUGUUUUUUUUGUCAAGGGUCUGAUGGGGGAAGCUGUACCUUGUGACGGCGAAGAGAGGCAAGGUUUAGGCUCCGCUGGUUUACCUGAAAAUUGGCUUUCUUUGAAGCCAAUCAACAUUCCGAUGGGAGGUGGCGACGAAGUUGAUGAUGGGAAAAGCGGUAAAGUAAUAGUGGAGGCAAGACUGGAAUGCAACAUCAGCAGCAAAGGGUUGGGUUGUUCAGAAGGUUUCAAGGGUCGGAUGAGAGCUCGCCUUGAUGAUCAGGGCAACAGAGUCGGUCGUUCCAACAAGAAUAAGACUCGGAACCUCAAGAACGGAUCAGAGAGUGGUGUUGCUGAGAAUAUUGGUGGAACUGAUCAAGCCAAGUGCCCUGUUUGUUCCAAGGGUUUCCAUUCGAAGAAGGCCAUGUACGGGCACAUGCGGUGCCAUCCUGAGAGAGAAUGGAGGGGGAUCAAUCCUCCGCCCUUCGCCAAGACUGUUUCUUGCUCCUCUGUGUCUCAGGGAAUUGAUGGAUUGAGCCAUGCGUCCAUGACAUCGACCGUGGUUUCAUCUGAUAUUAGUCCUUCUCAGCCUCCUUUACAGUUGACGAAAACUGGAAUGAGGGGCCAGAAUCGCAUCAUCAACUCGUAUUCUUCUUCGGGUUCGUCCUGUAAUAUCAGCUCAUCGCAGAAGAAAGAAAGUGAGGAAAAGCAUCAAGUUUCUGAAUGUGUAGGCCUGCAGAAGAGGCAACAAAUGAAGAUGUUACAAGUUGGGAAGCUAAUUAGGGAUUAUCCAUCCAAGAAGCUGAAAAUCCAUGAAAGAGGAGCUUUGGGGUUCAGAGGCCAAGAAGAUGCUGGAAACAAAGGGGGUGCUUCUUGGAAGGAUUUUCUAAAAACAGGGUUCAAUUUGGGACCAAAAGAAGUUGAUACGGACAAGAAGAGUAGUGAUGAUAGAAUUAUACCUGGGGGACAACUUGAUGAUCAGAUUGCAAAGAAUACAAAGAAGACCCCAAAGUUCGUAAGCUAUAUGGAUGUUUCUGAUAAUAAGCGAUUUCUGAAGACAUUAUUACCGAGGACAUAUAAACACGGCGCUCGCAAUAAAGC